UCGAGCGAGCACCUUGACGGAUUUCUUCGGAUUGAAGCCUUGGCGACUGAGCGGCGGACGGGUGAGUAACGCGUGGGUAACCUGCCUCAUACAGGGGGAUAACAGUUGGAAACGGCUGCUAAUACCGCAUAAGCGCACAGUACCGCAUGGUACGGUGUGAAAAACUCCGGUGGUAUGAGAUGGACCCGCGUCUGAUUAGGUAGUUGGUGGGGUAACGGCCUACCAAGCCGACGAUCAGUAGCCGACCUGAGAGGGUGACCGGCCACAUUGGGACUGAGACACGGCCCAAACUCCUACGGGAGGCAGCAGUGGGGAAUAUUGCACAAUGGGGGAAACCCUGAUGCAGCGACGCCGCGUGAGCGAUGAAGUAUUUCGGUAUGUAAAGCUCUAUCAGCAGGGAAGAAAAUGACGGUACCUGACUAAGAAGCCCCGGCUAACUACGUGCCAGCAGCCGCGGUAAUACGUAGGGGGCAAGCGUUAUCCGGAUUUACUGGGUGUAAAGGGAGCGUAGACGGCAUGGCAAGCCAGAUGUGAAAGCCCGGGGCUCAACCCCGGGACUGCAUUUGGAACUGUCAGGCUAGAGUGUCGGAGAGGAAAGCGGAAUUCCUAGUGUAGCGGUGAAAUGCGUAGAUAUUAGGAGGAACACCAGUGGCGAAGGCGGCUUUCUGGACGAUGACUGACGUUGAGGCUCGAAAGCGUGGGGAGCAAACAGGAUUA
rnacentral:rRNA from 1 species